CAGUCGCCGCGGGAAUACGAAGGGUGCAGGCGUUACUCGGAAUUACUGGGCGUAAAGCGUGCGUAGGUGGUGGUUUAAGUCCGUUGUGAAAGCCCUGGGCUCAACCUGGGAAUUGCAGUGGAUACUGGGUCACUAGAGUGUGGUAGAGGAUAGUGGAAUUUCCGGUGUAGCAGUGAAAUGCGUAGAGAUCGGAAGGAACAUCAGUGGCGAAGGCGGCCAUCUGGGACAACACUGACGCUGAGGCACGAAAGCGUGGGGAGCAAACAGGAUUAGAUACCCGUGUAGUCCCUGUCUCUUAUAC
rnacentral:rRNA from 1 species